rnacentral:rRNA from 1 species
ACGACGCACGGGGCUAACCACCUCNCCAGCAGCUGCUGUUAUAUGUAGGCCGCGAGCGUUGUCUUUAAUUUGUGAGCGUAAAGAGCUCGUAGGUGGUCCGUCGCGUCUGAUGUGACAGAGCGUGGUCUCAGUNNUGUCCUGCAGUGGGUACGGGCAGACUAGAGUAUGGUAGGAGAGACUAGAAUUCCCGGUGUAGCGGUGAAAUGCGCAGCUCUCAGGAGGAACACCGAUGGCGAAGGCAGGUCUCUGGGCCAUUACUGACGUUGAGAAGCGAAAGCAUGGGGAGCGAACAGGAUUAGAUACCCUGGUAGUCCAUGUUGUAAACGUUGGGCGCUAGGUGUGGGGCUCAUUCCACGAGUUCCGUGCCGCAGUUAACGCAUUAAGCGCCCCGCCUGGGGAGUACGGCCGCAAGGCUAAAACUCAAAGGAAUUGACGGGGGCCCGCACAAGCGGCGGAGCAUGCGGAUUAAUUCGAUGCAACGCGAAGAACCUUACCAAGGCUUGACAUACACCGGAAUCAUGCAGAGAUGUGUGCGUCUUCGGACUGGUGUACAGGUGGUGCAUGGUUGUCGUCAGCUCGUGUCGUGAGAUGUUGGGUUAAGUCCCGCAACGAGCGCAACCCUCGUUCCAUGUUGCCAGCACGUAAGGGUGGGGACUCAUGGGAGACUGCCGGGGUCAACUCGGAGGAAGGUGGGGAUGACGUCAAAUCAUCAUGCCCCUUAUGUCUUGGGCUUCACGCAUGCUACAAUGGCCGGUACAGAGGGUUGCGAAACUGUGAGGUGGAGCUAAUCCCAAAAAACCGGUCUCAGUUCGGAUUGGGGUCUGCAACUCGACCCCAUGAAGUCGGAGUCGCUAGUAAUCGCAGAUCAGCAACGCUGCGGUGAAUACGUUCCCGGGCCUUGUACACACCGCCCGUCAAGUCACGAAAGUUGGUAACACCCG